rnacentral:lncRNA from 1 species
AGAAAGACAAGUGGUAACAGCUUUAGGAAGUAACGAUGCAUAGCGCCUUAAGUUCACUGUAAAUAUGGCAGUCAAGACAAUACUAACGUUCCAACAGUCAAGACUUCCUACAUAUAAAAGCAAAACCAUUCAACCUUCUAGCAUGCACUUUGAAAGGCAUCUAUGGCUAUUCGACCUAAUUCUCUCCAUUAAUACGGAGUGUCAAAAUUCUAACUCCUUACUGUACAAGGUACCUAUUAAGCAAAUCUUAGACAAGUACACAGCUGGAUUUUUUAAUACUUUGGCUAUAUCCUCCCAAAUAAGAGAAAAAUGAGAAAAAACAAGCAAAUGAUAGGGGCAUCACAAUCUCUAUUCAAAUAUAUUCUGAAAUCUAUUUGGUAAAAGGACAUUAACCAAUAGGAUUAGAAUGUGAUAAGAGGUAUGGUCCAGGCACACACAUUUGAGCAUGUAACAAAAUUUGUUACCACUGAAAGUUCGCACAACAGUUCAGAAUAGAAGAGCUAGAAACAAAGUUUAGAAUCUAAAGGCCAUAGCAAAUAAAGCAUGAUUUUGUUUUGAAAGACAAAUACACUUCAAAUCAAGCUCUUCAGCCAAAAAAUCAUACUCCCUAGUAUUUCUUUAUACAUCUACAUCUGCCAACUUGUGCAACAAUAAAUUUCGAUGGCAGAAGGCAAUCAAGCAUUCCAACUUCUAACUAACACUUUAUAUUCAUAGUAAUUGAAAGUUUUUUUUUUUUUUUUUUUUUUUAAAAAGGAAAAAAAUCGAUGGCAGAAGGCAAUCAAGCAUUCCAACUUCUAACUAACACUUUAUAUUCAUAGUAAUUGAAAGUUUUUUUUUUUUUUUUUUUUUUGACAAUGGUAACAAAUUAUAUAAAUGAUUAACAAUAUUUACAGGAGAUUGUGUAAGCCACAAUCAACAUAGUAAUUGAAAGUUCAAAUAGUUACCGCAGAUAACUACGUAAUACUGCUAAUGUGAUUCAAAGACCAUCAAGCCUCAUUGUCAUUCAUAUAGCAUGCUAAAGAGCUCUAACUUAAUUAAACGUCAAACUUAUAGUUAUAUCCUAUGUUGCGCGGACUCUCCAAAAUGUUGCCGCACCCGUGUCGGAUACUCCAAAAAUACACUUCUUUUGCAGUAUCCGACACGCACCCGGCAAUAUUUUCGGAGAGUCCGAGCAACAUAGGUUAUUCUGGUUCAACCAAUUUUAUGCAACAUGGAGACAUCACACCACACUAUCACGCUCAAGCUCAAAAAAGGGGAGAUGAAACCCAAGAGAACAUAGUAAUCUCAAGUUAAGAAUUUCUCAUUGCCUAUCUAGCCUGCAGGAAAAAUUCACUAGGAGUUUCUAUUACCUAGCCUGAAGAAAUACUACAUUUUCGCUGGCCUACUGACUUAUCAUGACAGCAGCAAGGUGCUUCAGUGUCAAAAUGUCAAAGUACAAAUGCCAAGCUUUAUUUCUUUUUCACAAAAGGUUCGGCAGCAUGAAAGAGCAUGGGGGAGCAGAAAGCUUCUAAGCUUCACAUGGGAAUGACUCAAGUGGUAGAAGUUCAAAACUGAUGAGCAAGACGUUUCCUUAAUCAAAAUAAAGAAAAAUUGAUGAGCAAGAUAUAUAACAAACUUCUUCGUAGAACUUGAAAGAAGUUGAUUUCUCAAAUAGAAAGUGCAAUCCAGUUAUUUCUCUAAGUGUUUAUGUUUUAUCUUCUUUCUUAUUUGUAUUACACUUUUGACACCUUUCUUAAAUUAUAAUUCAGAAUAGUGAAACAUUCUACCCUAGAUAUGUCCUUUCUACAAGAUGCUGCUACUAUAAGCAAAAAGUGAUACCUUUUGAGUAAAGCCAAUAUAAACAUGCAUUUGAUGAGUAGUAUUUAACAAAAAAUUAACACCCUAUUCCGUAGGUCAUUCAUUUAUGCACCAAAAGUUUUUGUCAUCGCAUCAGUCCAUUCUCAAAUUCCUCUGAUUUCCUUCUGACAUUUUAUGCCUCCUAUUCCCACAAUUAGUUUGAUAUCGUAAAUUAUCACCAUAUUUACAUUAACCUUAAAAAACACCUCCAUCUUGGAUAUAAGAAUAUCCCAGCCAAAUCAACCUUCUGAUACCCUAUUUACUUCAGAACACAAUAUAUAUAUAUAUAUAUAUAGAGCAUCAAGAUCAAUCUCGAUCUCGUCUUCACUGACUUGACUUCCAUUGAAGCUUUUUUCUCUUAUAUAUAUAUCGGGUAAACAAGAACUGAAAGUGAUAGGGAGGGAAUCCAUAACGCAUGCAGCCUUUUCCUCGUGAUGACAACUGGAGGACGUAACUUCUAAGAGCUUACCAGUUGUAAAGUCAAUCCUACAUAUUUGAUACAGAGGAAUAUAUAUUUGAUACAUACAGUAUAGUGGGGAAACAUGAUCAAUAAAUGAUAGGAAGGGCAUCCACGAUCUCAGUACCCUUUUCCUCAUGACAAAGAGAAGCGCAAAUUUUAAAUGGCAUGCAAUAGAAACUCAUGGUGGCAAAGACAAGAAGUCUGGAAAAAGUUUGAAAGCCGCCAAUGUCAUAUUUUGCUGAAAACGAAAAACAAGCAGGAUGCAGUAGACCUCUCCUCGUGCUUAAACUGGAGCAUGGUAGCCUCUAAUAGUUUGGUUCUUGUGACAAGAUUUCUGGAAAUAGUUCCGAAACGUGUGUAGAAAUAUCAAAGAGAGGGAGAACAGUAGAAGUGUACAUAUGGAGGCAACGGUAGGUUUGAUGAUGGAGGGAGAACAGGACAGGAUCUUUUUUUUUUGGCUGCUCGCACUACCCUCCCCAGACGACACUCGUGGUAUUACACUAGGUUUUUUGUUGUUGUUGCUAGCACAAUUCUAUGCACAAACACUUCAGACUCUAGGCAUCGAGAAAUUACUCAAGAUAUUAGCAUUUACAAAUUAAGGUGGGAGGCAAUUGUAAGAAAUACGGUGGUUGUAGAUUCUAUCAUCAAACCAAUUAGAAAAACAGGGGUAUACAGGUCAUAGAAAGAAUGAGCAACAAUAUAAACAAACAUCCUCUCUUAUUUUUUCCUUUUGAUAACCAAGAAAUCCCCAAUGGCCAAGUGGCACACAAUUUCAGAACUCAGUGGAUAACAGGCCUUCCCCUCUACCCUUCUCCACCCCAUCCUCUGGUUAACAUACAGAAACCAGCGAAAAACAUCUAAAUAUCAAAACCCUAGACCGACCCAUGGAUGAAGCUCUAGUGGAAUAAAUGAAUAAUAGUGGAAGUCAAGUAUGUAACACAUGCAGACUUUUCCUGAAAAUG